rnacentral:ribozyme from 2 species
GAAAUAAUGCUACCUUUGAGUGUUUUGCGUUCAAAGUCCGUUCCAAGUCGGUUUAAAGCAGAGGAUUUC